rnacentral:sRNA from 1 species
GCCGGGUGCGAUGGUGAACACCUGUAAUCCCAGCAGCUCGGGAGGCUGAGGCAGGAGGAUUGUGAGUUUAAAGCAGGCCUCAGAAACUUAGCAAGGAUCUAAGCAACUUAGCAUGACCCUGUCUCCA